rnacentral:tRNA from 1 species
GGCUAGGUAGCUCAGUUGGUAGAGCGCGGCCCUGAAAAGGCCGGCGUCGGCGGUUCAAGUCCGCCCCUAGCCACCA